ensembl:lncRNA
UGAGCAUCCCUGCUGCUGAACUGUAGUAUACCUGAGAUGCAAGAAUGCUUCCCAAUGUUUGUGUUCAGGUGUUCUCCAGCCCCAUUCAUUCUCAUGUGCACUGCUGUGGGAGGAGGACAGCAGACAGGAUAUAUCAGCCUUGGAAGAGGAUUUCCUUACUGAUGGAGAAAGGUGUUUUCAGAGUUGCCAGUGAAGCAUGACACAAAGGGAUUUGUGCAGGGUAUGAUUACGCUGUGUUCAAAGCAAGGUAU